rnacentral:rRNA from 2 species
UAAAACCAGCACCUCAAGUGGUCAGGAUGAUUAUUGGGCCUAAAGCAUCCGUAGCCGGCUCAGUAAGUUUUCGGUUAAAUCUGUACGCUCAACGUACAGGCCGCCGGAAAUACUGCAGAGCUAGGGAGUGGGAGAGGUAGACGGUACUCGGGAGGAAGUGGUAAAAUGCUUUGAUCUUUCGAUGACCACCUGUGGCGAAGGCGGUCUACCAGAACACGUCCGACGGUGAGGGAUGAAAGCUGGGGGAGCAAACCGGAUUAGAUACCCGGGUAGUCCCAGCUGUAAACUAUGCAAACUCAGUGAUGCAUUGGCUUGUGGCCAAUGCAGUGUUGCAGGGAAGCCGUUAAGUUUGCCGCCUGGGAAGUACGUACGCAAGUAUG